rnacentral:lncRNA from 1 species
UGCAUAUGCUGGCGCAUUAUCAGUUUUCGUCUGUAAAGUACCCCUCAGAGAGUCAUCACCUCUACUAUAUAAUUACAGAAUCAGCCUUUCCAGGACUCAAAGCAGAAGCCCAUUGGAAUCCUGAGUGUUGUCUUUGCUCGCGGUGAGAGAAGGGGGCAUCAGCACAGGCUCUGGGCCUCGGCUUCUUAUUCCAGAGAGGAGCACUGCAGCUCUGGAAAGGUGAGCAGCCCCCUCUGAAGUGAGAGACCAGGUCCAUCCACCACCCACCACUCACAGAGCAGCUGGAGGCCGCCUACUUCCACUUCUGUGCCUGAGUCCUCUCAUCAUAUCUGGGUCUCAAGUCCGGAGCACACCUCGGGCCCUAACCUUGGACCUUGUGUCCUACAUUGAUGUGCCAGAUAUUGCAGAGCUUUCAAGGACCCGCUUGCAGUUUAAGACCUGGAGACUUCUAUAUAGUUUAAAGCUGUUGGCUUUAGGCUGGGCCAUCUCUCAGAUAGCUCCUUUAAACCUAUCCUAACUUUUUCUCCAUCCUGUCUCCCCCCAAGCCCCCACCCCAAUGUGGUUCUCGCUACCUGCUUACAGUUCUGUGUUCUCUUUCUCUGUUCUGCUCUUUCGUGUCUCACUCCAUCUCCCUGCCUUUAAGUCCCACUUCUUGCUCCAGGCCAUCAGCUCUUUAUUGGGCGACAAGCAUAUUCAGUCUGAACCGACCAGCAGCAAGACGACACCUAUUCAUGUCUGAGGGUUGUUUUUAGGCAGUGAAAGUUGCCUGACCUUCUUUUGGGCAGGUGAAGAAGCACAAGCAUCUACACAGGGAAAACCAGGGAUGAGCCACAGAAAUGACAAUACCAAAAUUCUGUCAACACUUAGGUUCUCUGCCAGUACAUAACUAACAAGUGAAAAUACAGGGACACAUCCUUUGAACAUUGUAAAGAAAGGUCACCCCAACAAGUUCUCAUUACCAUGAAAGAAAGAUAAAUG